rnacentral:rRNA from 1 species
GGCUAAUACCGCAUAAUGUCGCRAGACCAAAGUGGGGGACCUGAAAGGGCCUCACGCCGUCGGAUGAACCCAGAUGGGAUUAGCUGGUAGGUAGGGUAAUGGCCUACCUAGGCGACGAUCCCUAGCUGGUCUGAGAGGAUGACCAGCCACACUGGGACUGAGACACGGCCCAGACUCCUACGGGAGGCAGCAGUGGGGAAUAUUGCACAAUGGGCGCAAGCCUGAUGCAGCCAUGCCGCGUGUAUGAAGAAGGCCUUCGGGUUGUAAAGUACUUUCAGCGGGGAGGAAGGGUUGAGCCUGAACAGGGCUGGGCCUUGACGUUACCCGCAGAAGAAGCACCGGCUAACUCCGUGCCAGCAGCCGCGGUAAUACGGAGGGUGCGAGCGUUAAUCGGAAUGACUGGGCGUAAAGCGCACGCAGGCGGUCAAUUAAGUUAGAUGUGAAAUCCCCGGGCUCAACCUGGGAACGGCAUCUAAGACUGGUUGACUGGAGUCUCGUAGAGGGGGGUAGAAUUCCAUGUGUAGCGGUGAAAUGCGUAGAGAUGUGGAGGAAUACCGGUGGCGAAGGCGGCCCCCUGGACGAAGACUGACGCUCAGGUGCGAAAGCGUGGGGAGCAAACAGGAUUAGAUACCCUGGUAGUCCACGCUGUAAACGAUGUCGAUUUGGAGGUUGCGGCCYUGAGCUGUGGCUUCCGAAGCUAACGCGUUAAAUCGACCGCCUGGGGAGUACGGCCGCAAGGUUAAAACUCAAAUGAAUUGACGGGGGCCCGCACAAGCGGUGGAGCAUGUGGUUUAAUUCGAUGCAACGCGAAGAACCUUACCUACUCUUGACAUCCUCAGAAUUUGCUGGAGACAGCGAAGUGCCUUCGGGAACUGAGAGACAGGUGCUGCAUGGCUGUCGUCAGCUCGUGUUGUGAAAUGUUGGGUUAAGUCCCGCAACGAGCGCAACCCUUAUCCUUUGUUGCCAGCACGUCGAGGUGGGAACUCAAAGGAGACUGCCGGUGAUAAACCGGAGGAAGGUGGGGAUGACGUCAAGUCAUCAUGGCCCUUACGAGUAGGGCUACACACGUGCUACAAUGGCGGAUACAAAGUGAAGCGACCUCGCGAGAGCAAGCGGAACACACAAAGUCUGUCGUAGUCCGGAUUGGAGUCUGCAACUCGACUCCAUGAAGUCGGAAUCG